AAACCAGCACCUCAAGUGGUCAGGAUGAUUAUUGGGCCUAAAGCAUCCGUAGCUUGCUUUGUAAGUUUUCGGUUAAAUCUGUACGCUCAACGUACAGGCCGCCGGGAAUACUGCAGGGCUAGGGAGUGGGAGAGGUAGACGGUAUUCGGUAGGAAGGGGUAAAAUCCUUUGAUCUAUUGAGGACCACCUGUGGCGAAGGCGGUCUACCAGAACACGUUCGACGGUGAGGGAUGAAAGCUGGGGGAGCAAACCGGAUUAGAAACCCCGGUAGUCC
rnacentral:rRNA from 1 species